UACGUAGGGGGCUAGCGUUGUCCGGAAUCAUUGGGCGUAAAGGGCGCGUAGGUGGCUUCUUAAGCGUGCGGUGAAAGCCUGGGGCUCAACCCCGGGUCGGCCGUGCGAACUGGGGGGCUGGAGCACUGUAGAGGCAGGCGGAAUUCCGGGUGUAGCGGUGGAAUGCGUAGAGAUCCGGAAGAACACCGGUGGCGAAGGCGGCCUGCUGGGCAGUUGCUGACACUGAGGCGCGACAGCGUGGGGAGCAAACAGG
rnacentral:rRNA from 1 species